rnacentral:piRNA from 1 species
UGCACAGGAAGGCUCAGAAACAACUGC